rnacentral:misc_RNA from 1 species
AAAAAAAAAAAAGCGCCGGAAUGUGUUUCACGUUUUGGCAUUUGGUCUUCCUUAACUGUUUUUUGAUCGUGGAAUAUUAGCUCUGCAACGUGCGUGUUGGCUAAUCCUGGUACAUGGCCUGAUAUUCUGUGUCUUUUUGUUAUGAGUUAAUUCUUUGUCCUGCUGAGAAGUUAGGAAAUAGACUUUCUUGAUCUUGAUCUUGCCUUGCAUUGCAAUCAUGAUGGUGCUCUGUUGUAAUGGUUGCUAAGCUAGUUGUACUAAUUUAAGUAUCUUCUUUCUUUUUCUGAUUAUAUAGGUGGAGCACGUUGUCUGUCAAU